rnacentral:piRNA from 1 species
UGAUUAUUCAGGAUAAUGGACUCUGAGUA